UUGAAUGAACUUGGUGUGGUUGUUGCUGGCCCUUUUGGGGGUAUGUGCACACCCGCCAUCCUCAUCUCUCCACUUGUGCACCUUUUGUAGACUUGGAUGGACUUUCCGAGGCAACUCGGUCUGGAGGAAUGCUGCGCUCUUUGGGCAAGCUUUCUUUGUAUUUCCCGGUCUACGUUUUUCAUAUACCCCAUAGCAUGUAACAGAAUGUAUCAUUUGGGCCAUUGUGCCUAUAAACCUUAUA
rnacentral:misc_RNA from 1 species